rnacentral:rRNA from 1 species
UACGUAGGUGGCAAGCGUUAUCCGGAUUUAUUGGGCGUAAAGGGAACGCGGGCGGUCUUUUAAGUCUGAUGUGAAAGCCUUCGGCUUAACCGGAGUAGAGCAUUGGAAACUGGGAGACUUGAGUGCAGAAGAGGAGAGUGGAACUCCAUGUGUAGCGGUGAAAUGCGUAGAUAUAUGGAAGAACACCAGUGGCGAAAGCGGCUCUCUGGUCUGUAACUGACGCUGAGGUUCGAGAGCGUGGGUAGCAAACAGG